rnacentral:rRNA from 1 species
UACGUAGGGUGCAAGCGUUAAUCGGAAUUACUGGGCGUAAAGCGUGCGCAGGCGGUUGUGCAAGACCGAUGUGAAAUCCCCGGGCUUAACCUGGGAAUGGCAUUGGUGACUGCACGGCUAGAGUGUGUCAGAGGGGGGUAGAAUUCCACGUGUAGCAGUGGAAUGCGUAGAGAUGUGGAGGAACACCGAUGGCGAAGGCAGCCCCCUGGGCCAACACUGACGCUCAGGCACGAAAGCGUGGGGAGCAAACAGG